rnacentral:rRNA from 1 species
GGUUUAGAACGUCGUGAGACAGUUUGGUCCCUAUCUGCUGUAAAAUUUGAAAAAAAAAAAAUUCCUACUUUAGUACGAGAGGACUUAGACGGAUUAAUCAAUGGUUUGCCGAUUAUUUAUCAAAUAUAAGUAAGUCGGCCCGCUAAAUUAAGAUUUGAUAAUUGCUGAAUACAUAUGAAGCAAGAAGCAUUUUU